rnacentral:rRNA from 1 species
AGUGAACGCUGGCGGUAGGCCUAACACAUGCAAGUCGAACGGCAGCACAGGAGAGCUUGCUCUCUGGGUGGCGAGUGGCGGACGGGUGAGGAAUACAUCGGAAUCUACUCUGUCGUGGGGGAUAACGUAGGGAAACUUACGCUAAUACCGCAUACGACCUACGGGUGAAAGCAGGGGAUCUUCGGACCUUGCGCGAUUGAAUGAGCCGAUGUCGGAUUAGCUAGUUGGCGGGGUAAAGGCCGACCAAGGCGACGAUCCGUAGCUGGUCUGAGAGGAUGAUAAGCCACACUGGAACUGCGACACGGUCCAGACUCCUACGGGAGGCAGCAGUGGGGAAUAUUGGACAAUGGGCGCAAGCCUGAUCCAGCCAUACCGCGUGGGUGAAGAAGGCCUUCGGGUUGUAAAGCCCUUUUGUUGGGAAAGAAAUCCAGCUGGCUAAUACCCGGUUGGGAUGACGGUACCCAAAGAAUAAGCACCGGCUAACUUCGUGCCAGCCGCCGCAGUAA